UUGCCUUUUUCUUCUGAAAACAAGGAUCCUGGGAGAGUCAGCUCAGAGAGUUAACUUCCUUAAAUGGUCUGGCAGCUCAUGUUUACAGGAAGAGGAAAAUCUGGGAAAUACUGAUAGAAGUCAUAAAUGCAAGGAGGGAAAAAUAGGAUAGUUGAGGUCAUUUGCAGGUGCCUGCGAGUUAUUAUUCUUUUAAAAAAUGCCUAUUUGUGUCAUUACUAUGCCAAAAAUGUUCUAAAUUAUUCUAAAUGGUUUUAUUUAGACUGCUUUUUAAAAUUAAAUAAACAUUUUAAAGUUUUAAGUCAAAACUCUUCUGUGACAAAUUGAAGAAUAUUGAAGCUAUGAGAAAAGACACAGAAACAUCCUAUCAUGCAGCACUUUACAAUUGUAAAAUCAUUUUCUUUUCUAAAUGACCUAACCAUGUGAGGGGACCCUGAUUCCCAUUGGUCAACUAGAAUUCCAGAAAGAGUAAGAGAGAGACAAGCAAUAAGGAAAAACAACAGCAGAAUGGAUAAAGGGAAGGAGAGAAGAAAGAGGAGAGAGCAGAAGAAGUGAAGAUUCAGGCAAGGAAAUCAGAAGAUGGGACUAAAGAAGUAGAGGAGGAAGGAGAAGUUGGAAUGGACCUGCUGAUUGGCUUUAGAGGAGAAACCUCAGCAGUAUCCAGUGCACGCUGGCUAAUGCAUCUGUGAAAACUGCUUCAGAAUGUGACAGCUGGAAGCUAAGAGGAAAUAUCUAGAGAGCCCAGGAAAUAAUCAGAUUGGAUCUCACUAUGCCACCCCCUGCCAACUGAGAAGGGUGCCUUCUGAUGCCUCUGUUUCUUGAAUGAGGACUGGGAUGAAAGAGAAUUUGUGGUCAUCUGUGCUCUAGAAGAAGCCAUGGUAUCUGCACAUGCUCAAGUACCAUUUCCAUAGCAUUCAGAUAAAUAUAGUCCGAGGCAUCUGAAAUUUGUGGAGUGAUCAACCCUUCUCAGAAUUUUUUUUUUUUUUUCUGCAUUG